CGGGGAGCAGCAGGCGCGAAAACUUUACAAUGCGGGCAACCGUGAUAAGGGAACCUCGAGUGCCUGUAUAUGCAGGCUGUCCAGGUGUCUAAAUCACACCUGAAGAAAGGGCCGGGCAAGACCGGUGCCAGCCGCCGCGGUAAUACA
rnacentral:rRNA from 1 species